rnacentral:lncRNA from 10 species
UGAGGGUCAGAGCCAGCUGCCCUGCUGCCCAGCCCUUGAGGACACAGAGUCACACUCCUCUCCCACCCUCAAGUGCCUCGUGAACCCCUCUCUCCAGGAGGAGGGCAUCAUGACGCACUAGACCUGGCUGCAGGUGGUGAGUGAAUGUAGCUGCGCCCUGAGCAGAGGGGAGAGGGGCCAUGAGGAGGCUGUUUUGGGGCCCUUCUGGAGCAGGGCCGGAGAAGGGUAGGAGAUUGAAGAGGGUGAGUGAGAAAAGGCUGGACAGGACUAGGGCAGCUCCUCAACCCACCCCCAGGCACCCUCCCCUUCGCGCUGGACCUGGCUUUCCUUGAGGGGAGGAGGGAGUUUGUCCCCUUGAUCUGUGUGGCGCCUCUCCCCAGCACAGUGCUGCAAGGUAGACGGGGCUCAGGACCCUUUGGUAGAAGGAGGAAGGGGGAGGAAGAGAGCGAGGGGGAGGGUUAGAGCUGAUCUUCCUGGGAAGAAGGCGACUAAGGACAGCAGCCAGCGCUGGCGAGGAGGGAAGGCGCCCGGAGCACUGAGUGGGGGGUUGGGAGAGGAGGGUUAGCCCAGUGGGAAGCUGGGAAGGCUGGGGGACUUGGUGGGCUGCAGUCCUGCCAAAAGCCGGGUGACAGUGCAACCAGCGGAAAUGCCCAGCCCCGGGACCAGGGGACUAGGGACAGGAGCCUACCCUGUGCGGCUCUGAGGAGUGGCUGUGAGCACUGCACGCAGGACUGAGAAAGCCCGGGAUAAGCCCGGAGUGCAGGGAAACCCGCAGCCCCCUGGGCAGAUGUGGAGAAGAAUCUGGACAAGCUGACCGAGACCCCGGUACCGGGGGUCUCCGUGUGUGCCUGGCUGCGUGAUCAGCUGGUUUCCUGUUUGCUGUCACCUUCCGAUGAGUCUCCCUCUAAGUGUCAACAUGAAUUUUGAAGAAUCUGCAUUCAAUUCCAUAUCAGCCUGAGUUAAAAACUUUAGAAUGGGGAAUCCACCUCUCGCUUUAUAACCACCUACUUCCUGUCACUCGUCAUUUUCUAAAUAAAUGAGAAGUUCCCUUCAAAGCUUAUAAGCAUCUUCUAAACCCAGAAACAAAUAUAGUUGUUUAUUUUCUUCAUGUUAAGGCUACAGAAACCUGCCCUUUGCAAAGAAAAAUAUAUAUAUAUCCUGCUUAAUGUAGAUUUUUCUUAUAACAAUAACACUAACCUUAAAAAAACAAAAAAACAAAAACAAAAACAAAAAACCUCAUGUUGAAAAAUAGUAUCCUGGCUGG